rnacentral:lncRNA from 1 species
GUUCUCUGAAUAAUUUCCUGAGUUGCAUAUUCAUUUUUCAUUUUUUAUUUAAAAUUUCUGAACACUUCUAUCAUUCCAGGCCUAAAGAAAACAAAAAUAUUAAACCUUACUUGACUCCUUUCAAGAAUUAUUGCUUUCUAAUCAAGGUUGACAGUCUUUCCUUUCUUACAGAAAUGAGAUAACUCCACCAAAACCAGUGGCAUUACAAGGGUUCAACAGCAGCAGCAGUGGGAACAGGCCCAAGAGAGGCAGUAGAUUAUUCAGGCCAUUUGAGGUUGGGAACUGUGUUUGUUUGAUCAUCAAUAAUUGUGUUAAGGAUGUAGCACCAUAUUCUGGUUGCAACCAUCCAGCCCACUUGCACUUCACUUGCACAAAUAUGGGGGCAGCUGGGAGGUGAUGGGAGGAGAAAGUCCUUCCCUGGGGCAAACAAAGCCAAACCUUUCUGCAGUCACUGCUCUCCCUGCUCAAGGGGGCUGUCUUGUCUGGA